GCUCCGUAGGUGAACCUGCGGAGGGAUCAUUACAGAGUUCAUGCCCUACCGGGUAGAUCUCCCACCCUAUGUUAUUAUUACUUUGUUGCUUUGGCGGGCCGUUAGGCUCCGGCCCGACUACCGGCCCCGGCUGGUAAGCGCCCGCCAGAGGACCCACAACCCUGAAUAUUAGUGUCGUCUGAGUACUAUAUAAUAGUUAAAACUUUCAACAACGGAUCUCUUGGUUCUG
rnacentral:misc_RNA from 1 species